AAAAAAAAAAAAAAAAAAAAAAAAAUCAACCGCGUGCUUCUUUUGUUUAUUUCCAAUUUUUUUCUUUUUUUUUUUUUUUUAAUUUAAUCGAUAAAUCUAAAUAAUUUUUUAAAUUAAAAAAAAAUUUAUAACCUUAAACAUGGAUAAAAAAAAUGAACAAAUAAAAAAAAAUUUAGCCGUUAAAAAAAUUUUAUGGGACUUCUUUAAGAAUUUUAUGAAAAAAAAUAUCUCAAGAAUAAAAAAUUAUUACCUUAGACGCAAUUUUUUUUUUCGGAAAAGAUUUUUUAGUCUUUUUGAAAAAAUUAUGGUUCAAGAUAAUAAGUCUUUUUUUAUUAUGGACCAAAUAGAAAA
rnacentral:ribozyme from 1 species